UGCUUGUGGUUUAGGGAAAUUUGAGCAAA
rnacentral:piRNA from 1 species